CCUACGGGUGGCAGCAGUGAGGAAUAUUGGUCAAUGGACGCAAGUCUGAACCAGCCAUGCCGCGUGCAGGAAGACGGCUCUAUGAGUUGUAAACCGCUUUUGUACGAGGGUAAACGCAGAUACGCGUAUCUGGCUGAAAGUAUCGUACGAAUAAGGAUCGGCUAACUCCGUGCCAGCAGCCGCGGUAAUACGGAGGAUUCGAGCGUUAUCCGGAUUUAUUGGGUUUAAAGGGUGCGUAGGCGGCCGGAUAAGUUAGAGGUGAAAUCCCGGGGCUCUACUUCGGCAUUGCCUCUGAUACUGUUGGGCUAGAGAGUAGUUGCGGUAGGCGGAAUGUGUGGUGUAGCGGUGAAAUGCUUAGAGAUCAUACAGAACACCGAUUGCGAAGGCAGCUUACCAGGCUACUUCUGACGUUGAGGCACGAAAGCGUGGGGAGCGAACAGGAUUAGAUACCCUUGUAGUC
rnacentral:rRNA from 1 species